rnacentral:rRNA from 2 species
GGGUUGUGAGGUUAAGCGACUAAGCGUACACGGUGGAUGCCCUGGCAGUCAGAGGCGAUGAAGGACGUGCUAAUCUGCGAUAAGCGUCGGUAAGGUGAUAUGAACCGUUAUAACCGGCGAUUUCCGAAUGGGGAAACCCAGUGUGUUUCGACACACUAUCAUUAACUGAAUCCAUAGGUUAAUGAGGCGAACCGGGGGAACUGAAACAUCUAAGUACCCCGAGGAAAAGAAAUCAACCGAGAUUCCCCCAGUAGCGGCGAGCGAACGGGGAGCAGCCCAGAGCCUGAAUCAGUGUGUGUGUUAGUGGAAGCGUCUGGAAAGGCGCGCGAUACAGGGUGACAGCCCCGUACACAAAAAUGCACAUGCUGUGAGCUCGAUGAGUAGGGCGGGACACGUGGUAUCCUGUCUGAAUAUGGGGGGACCAUCCUCCAAGGCUAAAUACUCCUGACUGACCGAUAGUGAACCAGUAC